rnacentral:lncRNA from 1 species
AAAUUUUUUUUAAAAAAAACUGUAAAGCUGGGUUUUUCGACAGAAAAGUUUGAGGUCUGCCAAUUGCCCAGCAGCCUGAAAAUCAGGGGAUAUUUCAGAUCACUGUCAGGCUUGGCGGUGCAUCCCUGUCUUUUCCCAUCCCUGCGGCGCUCGCCAGCAGUCCGCUGCCUUUCUGGGGACACAGGUAGCCUCUCCGCCUGGGACAGCCUGCACGUCCCGGGAUGUAGUUUUCCACUCCUCGCCUUCCGGAGCCGCAGAGGGGCUCCCAAGUUAGGAAACAAGGAUUUCCACUGUGCAGGGAAAAGGCAUUCCGCGCAGCGGCUCCCCCCUUGCCCCUUCCUUCCCAUCCCUUCCCACCCCCUCUCCCGCCCCCCCACUUUGCGUGGGGAGGACAAACCUGGAACAGCCCGGCGCCUUUUGCUUCUAAGGGGCGGGGUGGGGGGGGGACCCGCUGCUUACUUGGAAUGCAAAGGGUUAACGCGGCCCGGGCUCCCCGCUCCCGAGCGCCGGGACCCCCGGGAAGGAGGGUCCUUCGCCACCUCCUCGCAGCUACCGGCCUCGCUCGGCCACUCCCACUUCCCCGGGCUUCCCCUCCUUUGCACUCUCCGGACCCCCAGAAAGCGUCAGGCUGGGUCCGCGCGGGCUCAGCCGGGCUCCGGAAGCCGCGCUCGGGCGGGGGUCCCGGGGUCCCGGGGUCGCGGGGCAGGGCGUGCGUGGGGCCCGCGGGCGGCGGCACGGUCCCGGGAGCCGGCUCCGACGUGGCACCGAGCACGCUGGCGCUUCUCCCCGCGGGGGCGGCGCGGGGCCCGGCGGGCGGGGGGCUCGGGGUGCAGCCGCGGCGCGCGGCCCGGAGCUGGGAGCAGGGGCGCGGCGGGAGGCGAGCCGGAGGCUGGGUCGGGAUGGGGACCGUCUACACCCCGGGCGGAGUGCGUCAGGCCGCCGGGCGGGAGCGAGGGCUCGGAUCCCGGUCCCCGUGAAGGGGGGCGGGGGGUGAAAGGAGGGUCUGUGCGGGCGCGGCGGCGGGGAGCCUGCCCCUGCGGCGGGGACACUCCAAGGAGGAUUCAGGCUGGAAAGCGGGGCAGGGAGCGGGGGGCGGAGCUGGGAGGGCUCCCGAGCCCCGGGUCCUAUUACACCCGCUUGGGUCCAGCGCCUCGCCCUCCAGCCCCCAAACCCCCCCGCGGAGGAGGGGACCCCGCGCCCCGCGCGCCCCCGGGGAGCGAGCCGCGGCCGCCGUGCCCCUGGGUGCGCAUCGGAGCCCGCGCCCCCUCCCUGCCCACGUCCCCGGCCUGGGCACCGCCGCCGCCCGGCGUCUCCCGAGCGGCCGCCCAGCUACGCCGCGCUCCAACCCACGUGGCUGGCCAGGGAUUGCCUUUGACGUCACGCCCUGGGGGGAGGUGUGACGCAAUAGGUCGGGGAGCCCUGAUUGGCCCCGAAGGGCUUCCCCGAGCUGGAGGCCUGAGUAUAUAUAGACUCUCAGCUCUGGGUUAG